rnacentral:piRNA from 1 species
UGCUGUUCCAAAGGAUGCCUCUAGUCU